rnacentral:rRNA from 1 species
AGAGUUUGAUCCUGGCUCAGAACGAACGCUGGCGGCGUGGAUAAGACAUGCAAGUCGAACGAGAUUUUUUCCUGUAGCAAUACAGGGAAAAGUCUAGUGGCGAACGGGUGCGUAACACGUGGGCAAUCUGCCUUAAAGUGGGGGAUAGCUCGGCGAAAGCCGAAUUAAUACCGCAUGUGAUCAGGGGAGACAUCUUCCCGAAAUCAAAAGUGGCGCAAGCUACUGCUUUUUGAGGAGCCCGCGGCCUAUCAGCUAGUUGGCGAGGUAACGGCUCACCAAGGCUUUGACGGGUAGCUGGUCUGAGAGGACGACCAGUCACACUGGAACUGAGACACGGUCCAGACACCUACGGGUGGCAGCAGUCGAGAAUUUUUCUCAAUGGGGGAAACCCUGAAGGAGCGACGCCGCGUGGAGGAUGAAGGUCUUCGGGUUGUAAACUCCUGUCAUUUGGGAACAAGUGUCGGUACCUAACUGCUACCGGCUUGAUAGUACCAGAAGAGGAAGGGACGGCUAACUCUGUGCCAGCAGCCGCGGUAAUACAGAGGUCUCAAGCGUUGUUCGGAUUCAUUGGGCGUAAAGGGUGUGUAGGUGGCGCCGUAAGUCGGGUGUGAAAUUUCGGAGCUUAACUCCGAAACUGCAUUCGAUACUGCGGUGCUUGAGGACUGGAGAGGAGACUGGAAUUCAUGGUGUAGCAGUGAAAUGCGUAGAGAUCAUGAGGAAGACCAGUGCGCGAAGGCGGGUCUCUGGACAGUUCCUGACACUGAGACACGAAGGCCAGGGGGAGCAACGGGAUUAGAUACCCCCGUAGUCC